rnacentral:tRNA from 1 species
UUCCUGGUGGCUCAGAUGGUAAAGAAUCUGCCUGCAAUGCAGAAGACCCAGGUUCAAUCCCUGGGUUGGGAA